GACGAACGCUGGCGGCGUGCCUAACACAUGCAAGUCGAACGAGAUCCAUGGGAGCUUGCUCCCGGAAGAUCUAGUGGCGAACGGGUGAGUAACACGUGAGAAACCUGCCCUGGAGUGGGGAAUAACUCGGGGAAACUCGAGCUAAUACCGCAUACCCUCGGAUGGUCGCAUGGCCGACCGAGGAAAGAUUUAUCGCUCUAGGAGGGUCUCGCGGCCUAUCAGCUAGUUGGUGGGGUAACGGCCUACCAAGGCAACGACGGGUAGCUGGUUUGAGAGAACGAUCAGCCACACUGGGACUGAGACACGGCCCCAGACUCCUACGGGAGGCAGCAGUGGGGAAUCUUGCGCAAUGGGCGAAAGCCUGACGCAGCAACGCCGCGUGCGGGAUGACGGCCUUCGUGG
rnacentral:rRNA from 1 species